rnacentral:lncRNA from 1 species
ACAAAUCGGCUACAACAACAAGUAGUGAACUUAACCAGCAAGGAAAUCUUUCAACUCCGCCAAAUCCGAAGUCGUCCAAAGAAUAUAAAAAUUGAAACUCAAGCUUUGAAUGGGCGAUGUAGCCUUCUGCUAAUGGAUUCUAGAAAUGACAAUGAAAAAGAAUGAAGAAGAAAAAGCCGAGAGCUUCAGAGGCGCUGCUUUUUUAGGGGAGGGGUCUGUCUCCUACAGAUUUU